CGGCGGACGGGUGAGUAAUACCUAGGAAUCUGCCUGGUAGUGGGGGAUAACGUUCGGAAACGGACGCUAAUACCGCAUACGUCCUACGGGAGAAAGCAGGGGACCUUCGGGCCUUGCGCUAUCAGAUGAGCCUAGGUCGGAUUAGCUAGUUGGUGAGGUAAUGGCUCACCAAGGCUACGAUCCGUAACUGGUCUGAGAGGAUGAUCAGUCACACUGGAACUGAGACACGGUCCAGACUCCUACGGGAGGCAGCAGUGGGGAAUAUUGGACAAUGGGCGAAAGCCUGAUCCAGCCAUGCCGCGUGUGUGAAGAAGGUCUUCGGAUUGUAAAGCACUUUAAGUUGGGAGGAAGGGCAUUAACCUAAUACGUUAGUGCUUUGACGUUACCGACAGAAUAAGCACCGGCUAACUCUGUGCCAGCAGCCGCGGUAAUACAGAGGGUGCAAGCGUUAAUCGGAAUUACUGGGCGUAAAGCGCGCGUAGGUGGUUUGUUAAGUUGAAUGUGAAAUCCCCGGGCUCAACCUGGGAACUGCAUCCAAAACUGGCAAGCUAGAGUAUGGUAGAGGGUGGUGGAAUUUCCUGUGUAG
rnacentral:rRNA from 2 species